GAGAGAAGGGGGAAGAGAAGGAGGAGGAGUAAGAAAAAUGGUUUUAAAAGCAACUGUCCUGAAACACCCAUUCUCUCCAUCCUCCUAGAUAACCAGCUUGUCUUCUAACCUGGAACUUCUUUUAUAUAAUGGGAAAACUUUAUUCUUUUCUCCCUAGGAUGCCCCAUUUUGCCCUGGUCCCUUUUGACCACCUCUUCCUCCUGCUCCUCCUCUUCUUCUUCUUCCCCUUCCUCCCCUCCCCCCCUCCUCCUUGUGCCUCUGCUUUACUGGAGUAAUUGCUCUGAGUGCCCCCUGACCACUUGGGGGAAAUCUAUCAAUUGUAACUGUUCGCUUGCUUCUCUGGGCUUCUGGCAGCCCCCACCCACUGCACCCCCUGCACAUUGCUGCUGUUCUGGAACUGUACAAGACCUGUUUGUUUUUCUAAGCAGCCUCUUAAAUUAGUAUUUUGCUUAGCACUUUUUACUGUCUUUCUCUCCUUGCAGACAUGUUAGAAGCCUUCCCACAGGCUGUUUACCUAAAGAAACCACUGUUUUCCUGAGGCACUGACUAUCCAGAUGACAGUGUCCCACUGUGUGUCCCACAAAUAUGCUGGGCAAUCAGUGCUAGACACCACAGGAGUUGCAAAGCACCACAACCCAAGGACACGCUUCCCAAAGCUGAAGUCAUCACAAAAGUCAGGACAGAGCUCCAGAAGGCACUGUACAAGAACUCAUGGUUAAGGCUGGCCAGCUCCCACACGUCUGCUACCACAGCUACUCUGCAGCCCAGACUGCAGGAUCCAGAAGUUCAAGAAUCUCACUAUAUAGCUCUGGCUUCCUGACUGGACUGGAACUCUCUAUGUAGUCUAGGCUAGCCUUGAUCUCACAGAAAUCUGAACACCUGCUAGGACUGGCCAUGCACACCAUCACACAGGACAAAAUAAAUAUUAAGGAAAAAAAGGAUUGGUGAAUGAAUGUACACUUAUGUAUAAAAAUCAUCUAUAUUAUA
ensembl:processed_transcript E230016M11Rik RIKEN cDNA E230016M11 gene